GAGCAUAUAGCUCAGUGGUAGAACAUGUGCUUAGCAUACACGAGGUCCUGGGUUCAAUCCCCCAGUGUCUCU
rnacentral:tRNA from 1 species